rnacentral:rRNA from 1 species
GGCGGACGGGUGAGUAACGCGUAAAGAACUUGCCCUUUAGACUGGGAUAACAGAGGGAAACUUCUGAUAAUACUGGAUAAGUUAGUAUAUCGCAUGAUAUGCAAAUGAAAGCUACGGCACUAAAGGAGAGCUUUGCGUCCUAUUAGCUAGUUGGUAAGGUAAGAGCUUACCAAGGCGAUGAUAGGUAGCCGGCCUGAGAGGGUGGACGGCCACAAGGGGACUGAGAUACGGCCCUUACUCCUACGGGAGGCAGCAGC